rnacentral:lncRNA from 1 species
AUGGCGGUGGACGCUGGGAGAAGUCUGGCCCCCUGCGCUCACUCAGACCCCCGGCGUCUUCCCCCAGCUCCUCAGCUCUUCUCUGGGCCCUGUCCCACCCCUCCCCCACUGGCACGGGUCACUUCAGGGCUAGGGGCGAGCGGGAGCCACAGAGAGCAGGCGGGAGGUGUUGUACCCAGGGUGUUCCCCGCACCUGGCCCUGACUGUCAGAGGCGCGGGCGCGGGACAGAGGGGCCAAGACCCUCUGUAGCGACAGCUUCCCUGGCGCCGUGUAACAGAGAGAUGGUGGAAAAGGCAAGGAGAAGGCCAGUUCAUGGUAGAGAGCCACGCCUCGUUUCCUCUCCCACGCUCUCCCACGCACUUGUGGAAGGCCACUCGAGCCAGAGGACGCCCCCUGGGAGUGCUAAAAGGGUGGUGGUCCCGGCCCUCCGGCUGGCUGUAGGCUUGCUGAAUUUCGGGUCCCACCCGCAGGCGCCCUGGCAGGCCCAAACCACAUGGUGUCUCGGGCCUUGUGCAGCCCACGGGCCGGUUGCUCCUCGUGCUGGGGGGCAGCUGUGUGCUGAACCAGGGGAGAUGCCCGUGCUGUCCGCCGUCAGUCACUGUUUAAAAAAGAGCUGCUCAUUUGAAAGGCAGAGAGACACAGAGAGGGAGCUUCUGCCCACUGGCUCACCCCCAGUCGGUGCACUGGCCGGGCCAGGCGGAAGCCAGCACCCUGCAACUCCAUCUGUCUGCCACGUGGGCCGGACCCCGGCACUGGGGCCGUUGCUGCUUUCCCAGGCCAUCAGCGGGGCAGCUGGGACUCGCCCAGAGGUCUGGGGCGGGAGGCCAGCGUGGCAGCGACUGUCCCAGUUACGCAAGAGCCGAGAGCCGGCGCGAGUCACGAGGGCUGCUUUGUCGAGGGCCACCGCAGGACAUCUGUGGAGGCCUGGCCCCAGCCAGCGGCCCCGUCGCAGCCCCUCCCACACCCCUGCCUCCCAGGGCUCCAGACGAGUAUCAUGGAGGAGUCUGUCACGUCUUUGCACUGUGGCUUUUAGCCUGCAUCGCGGGCUUCCCUGGGGGUGGGGGGUGGAGGUAGGGGGCCUGAGUCCUCCGUGGUCUGCAGCCCCCCAUCCCUGCCUUCCGCCAGCUGGCCAGGCACAGCUCGUGGGCAGGCUCCGAGCAGUUUGCCCCGCAGCCUGCUCACCCCGGGGUUCAAGGAGAACUCGGAAGGUGACCCUGGUGCAGGGGGAGUCUGAGACGUGCACGCUGCGGAAUGUUUUAAGUGAGGUUCCCUGGGUGUAG